AUUUUAUUUCAGUUAACCACUCCCUCAGUACUAUUACUAUUACUCAUACACUCAGUAAGAAGUGACAGGUUGUCUAGUUAUAAACAAUUAGAACCGUUCGUAAAUAGAAGUUUAAAAGCCCUUUAUUAAUUCAGAAGUGAAACACUGAUAUUUAAAGUGAGAUAAGUAUGUUUAUUAAGGUUUAUUCUACUCUAAGAUUUAUACAGAGAAUGGAAUGCAAUACAAGCUAAGAGCACACCUCAGAGAUCUACCACAAAACCACCCCCUACUCCCUAUAAGGGAACUGUAAAAAAAAUUAAAAUAAAAAUCAGGAAACCAGUUACUGUUUAACUAGUUGCAAGUGGCUUUGUCCAAAGAAGUCAAGCUCAAUAUUGCAUUAGCUUUGUAUGCAAUAAGAAGUCUCUAGAAGCAGAAGUAUCACAUACAUAGGCAAAAAGAUCUCCCAUGGAUACACGAAAACCAUGUUUUAAAGAGCUACAUCACAAGGGUAGUUUAAAAUUGCCUAAAAAAACAGCCACUAAUGGCAUGCACAGGUCAAUAAUCUUAACUUUGGUAAUGUCAGUCAUUUUUGGUCAAACCUGGAUUCCACUUUUAGCAAAAAAAAGUAUAAAAACACACCUGUCCUGUGCAUAAAGCAACACAAAUUCCACGUGCUACCAGCUAGAGGCAGGCCUUCACGACAUGGCAGAAGCAUGCCACGUUUGCUGCCAGAAGCCUGCUUAGCUCUAGAUCACAUCUCUUACUACUCAUCAGCCUACCAGGCCAGACCAACAGGACAAGGAAGUGGACAGAUUGUUUUGUUUUAAAUGCAGAACAAGAGCCAUCUUUAAAGUUAUACAGCUUUAAGUAACACCAAUUUUUCCAAAAUGUUUUUGUAAGAAAUCCAACAGGUUUUUUAAGCUUUAUGUAGCUCCCCAAGACACAUUUAAUUUUCCUUUCUGAAGCCAUCAAUACCCUGUAAAUAAGUGUUUUGUUCUUCCUGAGGAAGAAAGCAAAGGUGGUUUUAUUUACAAUGGUGGAGUCAACGCUUAAGAUUGUAACUGGACUUGGAACAGUUAAAAAAGUAUAAUGAAAAUGACAACCUUAAGUGCUACUUUCCAUACAGAAUCCACACUUGGUUCAGUUUUAUUCGUUGCAGAGUAAAGUAAAAAGACAUCCCAUUACACUAGUAAAAACGCAGAUUUAAAUUUAUACUCAAAAAAAACCACUACACAUGCAAAGGGAACAAUAUCCUGCUAUCAUAACUUCAUUUGCUGCUGCAUUUGUCUAAUAUUAACAAUUAUGAACAGAGCAGUGCAACUAGUAUUUGGAACAAUCCUUACAGUGUUCGAGUGUCAGGCACAAUGCUUCACUUCUCUUCACACCACUGGUUCUCCUUACGUACCUGUGCUUCUUCCUCCUCAGUGAAGUCAUUCUUAAUAUUGAAUGUCUUGCGAAUUUCUUCUGGAGUUUUCCCCUUGAUCAUGUUGGCAACUGUCUUGCAUGUGACAUCAAGCAAACCUUUGAUGUCCAAGUAAUUUGCAGCCAGGAUGAGUUCAAAAAGUGUUCCUUGGUCUACUUUCAGAAAUUCUUGAUCCCACACAGGGAUGUCAUCCGUUCUUUUCUCCUUGUUCUCAUCAUCCUCAGGAGGAGGUGGAUCAUCUUUGUGAUGGGUGCACCACUGAAUCACCUUUUUUAAAAUAGCUGCGUUGACAUUUGGAAGAGGGACUGGGUCAUCAUCGCCUUCAUCAUCCAUUCCCAGGUCUUCCAGCAUAGUCUUUAUGGUUACGGACUGUUUUGCAAUUUCAACAUCAACUUCAAAAAUCUCUCCAUCUGAACUCUGCAGCUUAAUUGAAGGCAUCGUGAGGCGCAGGCGACGUCCAGCAGCUGCUGACGGGACCGGUAGCGGCAGCUCUCGGGGCUCGACUGCAGCGGCGGCUUAAUGGGGGGGGAGGGGCGCGGGGGGAGGGGAAAAGGACCCCGCCUCUCGCUGCCUCACAACCGCCGGGCUGCCCGCCGAGAGCGCCUGAAACGAAGCGCUCCGCUUCUCGCUCCCAAGCCGCGCCGAGAGCAACUGUGGCACAAAAAGCCCCGUACCGCAUCCACUGGGAUAGGGAAGGAGGGGAACGGAGCGGCAGCGCGGCGAGGAAGUUCGAUGGAAGCCCUCGGUUUUAUUCAGGCGGUGACACGGCCGCACCGUACGCCUCACAACGGGCGGGGGAGCGGCGCGCGGGACAACGGCUGCGGCGCCCCCACACGGCGGGGUCGGCCCUGAGCGCCUGGGGGCAGCGCCGGGCCCGGAGCCUCGCGGGGGGCUCGUAGGUCGCGUUGGGCUGCGGUCACCGUGAGAUGUGGUCAGGACGUCGUGUGCGUGACUUUCGAGCAGUUAUUUAUCCAUCGGCAGCCCGCGGUGGUGGCAGUUGCUUCUCUCAAAAUCGCUACUGUUGUUUUUAGUGCGCGUCUCCACACCCCGAUAAGCGGGUAGCGGCGCCCUGCAGAGCACUGACUGUUGGGGUCACUGCUUCCCCUCUCCUCAGGUAUUCCUUAGUUUCGUGCCUUCACCCGAGCGACAGCAAUGAGACAGCAGGCCUCGAGGCGCUCAGCAGGCAGCCGGGAGCAGGCCGGACUGGGGCAGGGAGAGCGAAGGCCGCAGGGAAUGCUGCUGGGGGGGCGGAGAUGGGCUGCGCCCUGCGUGCUGUCAGCCACACAGCCCGGGUGAGCGUGAGGCCCUGCCGCAUCGGUCCUGUGCCCUAAAUGGCCUUCUCUAAAAACUCCACAGCACUGGCGGAGGUGGACGCCUGCCUUAAGAACCCCAUUGCUCAGCGUUGGGGUGCUGAGCAGCUCAUCAGUGCUUGAAGGUGACCGAGCAGCCCAUUCGAGCCUCAGAAACUGAUGUAGAGAGGAGUUAACCUUGCUCAAAUUAUCUUCAGCUGCACCUUCCAGUCUCAGCUGCUGUGCGUGGGACACACAGCUCCACGGAGCCCUUCACAGCAGGUGAGUGCACAGCUGAAGGUGGCAGGUGCUGCUUACACACAGCACAUCACCACUGACGUGUUCCUCAGGGAUCCCACUGGUGGUAACUGGGUGAGCUGUUGUCUGCAAUUCAUUAGGACCUAAUUAUCCUGUCUAUAUAAUAGAGAUUUAUGUAUGCAGGGGCUUUACACACAUACAUACCCCAAAUAUGCCUCAGCAUAUUUACCUCUUUCCUCUAAGAUCCCUUCAUCUCAUAGCUUCACUGUAAAGGAUGACUUUCACCACAUUAAAAGAAACAACACUGCCUUUAUUUUCUUUAAAUGAGCUUUUUUAAAUAGUUAAUACCCCUUGAUUUAGAGGAUCAGAUGGUGACUGAAAGCAGCCUACAGAAGACAUCUGCAAGUCCUAAGUACUUUUUCCUAAUGCUGCCCAAAUCAAGGUUCCUGAUCAGUAAGCACAAAUAACCUCAGCCUGCAAAUCAAAGUCAGUGGAAGGGUUUGCUCUCCACAGAGUGCAAAUUAAUAACAUCUAGAACCAGACAGAAGGCAAAGUUCUAUGCCUAAACAUGAUUGGUAUAUAAUUCAAAGGGAUUAAGCAUUACACUUGAUAGAACUCACUGAAGGUGCCACAGAGAAGACUGAGUUUGCAGUGGACUUUGAACGUAUCUGUUGAAUUAGAAGUCUGGGAAAGUUAAAGCAACAAAAACACCAAGCUGUAAGAAGUGGCAGACAACUGUCACGGAUAGGCUGUAAUCACAUGAAGGCCACCUCCCACUGUGCCCUACAUAUCGUGUAGGGAAUCUCUCCAAGCUAGUCGGAAUGUUUUUUGCUGUCUUUGUCAUGAAAAAGCCACUGCUGGUGAUAGUCAGAGUCCUGCAAGUCAGUCAGUAUUAGCAACACAGAAGACUCAUCCUUCACUAAAGCUGCAAAACAAAGAACAAGAUUAAAAAAAAAAAAAAGAGAGACCAAUCUCAAUUGUUACAUGCACAGGUAAUGGUUCCCAUGCAAAUAAUCCUAAACCUAAGCAUCACCAUCCUGAGUUGUAAAGGUAAUUGUACUGGGUAUCAGUCACAGAUAAAUUACAAUUAGGGACCUUUUACCACUGAGAAUUCAGAAGAAGGGGGAAGCUUAACACUAUAGCAAAUACAUGAAAUGAUUGGAGCAACUAAGAUCAACGUAAGCUUAAUUUAACACUUAUCAGAUCCAGAAGAGCUCUGACCUACAUUCUUGCAGCAUCACUGGGCUGUGGGCAGAAGCCAGCUGAGCAGCUGCGCAGCCAUAGGGGGAAGGGAGUUCUGACACUGAACAUGGCGUUAGCAACAGAGAGCAGCCUCCUGGACACAGCACGGGAUCAGUCCAGAACCUUGGACUAUGUUUUCAGCUAUUCCUCUUGGCUGUUUAGCUAAAAGUAAACAUAUUCUCUUAUCUAUGCCCUCUUCCCACUCCCCUCCCCCCCCCCCUCAAAAAAGAACCCUAACCACUUCACACUCCUCUUUCAUAGACAGAGAAAUGCUCUUUGUUAGUGCUGGUUGUGAUUUAGAGAUUAUGGAGAUAACAUGAUGUAAAAAGAUGAGUUUUUUUUUUUUUAAUACAAGUGUUACAUGGGAUUAUCAAAGCCUAGAGAGAACCAGGCUUGAAAGACCUCAGCUUGGCUCCUCCAAUCACAGGUUGGGAAUCAUCACAGGACUUGGUCUGCAUUUGCUGACCAAAGGGAAGGUGAGCCUGCAAGGACUGCACUGGUAUCACUGCUGGGUAGCACGGUGUGACCACUGAGCCUGGACAAGAAGCUGGUCUGUAUGCACAGGCAGUCAGACUCACAAAAGUGGUCUUUUUUUCCUUCAAGGAAUGCAGAAGGUAGGGAACAUUUUUGAGAGCAAGCAAGCAUUUUUUUUUUGUCUGAUACAGAUGCUGGAAAAAUACUGCUGAGCUCCUUGUGCUUGUGCCAAUGUUAUUUAAAGCAAUCUUGCAACAAUGCAGCAGAAAAGAAAGAAAAUUCUUGUCUCCACUGAAUUCCAGAAAAAUUGUGUCUCUGCUUCAUCAAAACCUGUGCAACAGAAGCAUCCUUAGGAUGUUGCUUUCUGUGCGAGUUGUGCCCCAGGAAGGCAGGGGAGUGGGUAGGUACUGGGGGAGGCAGUCUGCAGUUUAGAUGAUGUAACAGCAGUAGGCUGAUAAAACUCAAUCAAAUUGUCUCAGGCAAUAUCAGCUGAUUUUUUUUAUUUCUUUAUCAGCUUGUUUCUCCCUCAAAUGACAUUUGUGUGCUCUCCUUGCCUAACUAUGAGGAUUUGAGACAGCAUAAAAAAGAUAUUCAAAAGGGAAGCAAACCUACCUCAAGCAUAUUUGCCGCAUGCUUUUCCUAACCUCAUCUGCAGUCUACCUCCGUGUACUUAUACAUACUGGGUUUUGUACCAUUUUUGCCCUAGCAUCCACAGAAAUAAUUUGGACUGCUCCAGUCCUGUAGUCCCUGUUUGUGCAUAGGGAGGGAGAUGCUGCUGAGUGGCAGCUCCCCACUUCCAGCAUGGUUGGCAGAAGGGUGCCUAAUUCCACCCCGUGGCCCAGCAGUGGGGCUGUGCUGCACCUGCUGGCUUGUAAGGAAUGCGUGGCUGCCAGAGCGAGAACAGAACAAGAGUGACUUACUGUAACUGGCCUUCAGAACAGCUUCAAGCAGCUAUUUGUGAAGACCUUUGAGCACCUACUCUGAUAUUUAAGUAAACUGAGUUGGCUUUACAGGGUUUUUCUUUGCUGUGUGGGUGAUGAAGCAUGGACACAGGUACCCGGACAGGUGCUGGGGUCCCCAUGAAGACCUCCAAACGCAGCAGGACACAGUGCCAGGCAGCAGCUCCGAUGGCUCUGCUGGAGCAGUGGGUACCAGAGAUAUCCAAAGCUGCCCCCAGCCCCAGUUCUGUGGCUGCACAGUGCUGUUAUGAAGCCUUGCAGCUGUUCAAAGUCCAAAAGGCAGAUUCCGGGCUGGUACUGAUGCUGCAGACAAUAAAAAGCAGAGGCUUUAAGGUUUCAAAGUCCAUGGGAAUAAAUGUAGUGCAUUUCACAAGUCAGGCUAAGUCAAAACAUUUUGAAAAGAGAAAGCCGUGGAAAAGUGACAGUGCAGGGAAGUGCUGAGAUGACUGAGCUAACAGUGGAUAAACCUCAUGAACACAGAAUUUAUAUUGGAAAAGGAGAAGCCGGAGCAGCCUCUGAGAGCCAACACAUCUUGCCCACACCCAGGGCAGUGCCAGGCAGCGUCCCACUUCCCUGAGGACAAAGGCGGUGGCAGAGCAUGAGCAAAGCCGACUGUAAAGUGGGUCAGGCACAGAAUGAGCAGCAGAGGCUCCUUCCCAACAGCCCUCCUCCAGGGCCUCCCCACUUCCACAGAACUUACACUGACAGCUACAAUAAAGAUGGGUUUUGACAAAGUCUUGCAAUUAACCAGCAUGGUGGUGGUGGUCUCAAAUCCCCUGAGAAGUAGAGGCAGCGGGAAAACAGGCUAAAGCCUUUCCAUCAAACAUGAGAUUGCUGGUUUAAAGAGUAGAGUCCUAUUUGACAGUUCAGCACUUUGUAUUUAAAUGUAUCAUCCCAUUUCAGACAGUUCCUAUGGUGUGGUUUUGUUUUAAGAGAACAGUUGCACUUAGGGGUGAUCUGAUGAGAAAUACAGGUACGGAAGUCAGUAAGAGGACGAAGUAACAAACGCUCCAUUCAAUUUAUACCGUCUUACAGAAUGCUGCAUUUGUUUGCAGUGCUGAUGGUUCUCAUCUACAGCACCCAUCCCAAAGCUUCCACCAGCGGUGCUCACCUCGCCCAGACAGUGGACGUGGCACAAUGCAGCCAUCAGAAAAUCAGCAGAAAUGAGCUGAUGCCGAUUUGAGACCACUGGACACACCUAAAUUUAUCUGUAGUUGAUGUUGCAAACCAAAACCAAAGCCCUGACAUCUUCACAGCAGUCUGACGAUGAGGUAAUGGGAUAAACAUCCACUGUGGAUCUCACGUGCUGCAACUCAGUGAGAUGUUGCUUUUGACACAAGAACGUAGGUUGGAAUGCAUCUCAGUCUGAAGCAGCACCAGCACCAACGGCAGCUCAGAUGUGUUUUUCUAGUCUAGUCCUGGAACCUUCCAAGAAGAGAUGUUCUGGAGCCUCUCUAGUUCAUCCUUUCCAGUACCACAGUGCCCUCCUUCUCUAAAAGUGAUGCUUUUAUGUUUUCUGUAUGUUGGCAAUAUAUAUGUAAGCAUUUAAAUACAAUUAGCAAUCUGUGUUUUAUAUACUAGGAGCAAUCAGUUUCAUUUUCAUCUAUAAGCCGUUGCUUACCAUACAGUAAUUGAGAUGAGGCGCUGUAGCUCUCAACUCACCUUAAGGAAUAAUGCUUUUAAGCUACAGCACAGGUUUUAAAGGGCUAAAACAUGUUGCACUGCUUAAUUUAAAACCUAAAGUGUUGUCUCAGCCUUUUUUUUUUCCUGUAUACAUGCCAAAGAACUCCAGCCCCUUGCUCAGGAGAACACUUUGUCUUUAUCCUCAUCCAGGAGGAGCACAGCCAAAUGAAUUAGAGCUCCAAAACUUUAAAAAACCACAGUAAGCUGACUCAACUGCUUACUCUGCAGAGCUGCCUUAGUGUGUUCACGUGUCCUGAAAGAUUUCUGUGUAGUCCAGUGUUAUUUUUACUAACACUUAACCUGUUUCCAAACUAUCCUGUCUGGAACUUGCAGAGAACUGAUACAGCGCAGGCAUCUCUGUACAACCAUAGCUAAGCAGUCAGACUGCAUGUGUGGGCAAGACACCUGCAACAACCUGGAGAGGACAGCAAUUCAGAAGUUCUACAGACUGGAAAUAAAUAAAACAAAUCCUAAAUUACUACACAUUCUCAGCAUACAGGUAAAGCAAAAAGCAAUUAAAAACUGUGUGGCUGGUAGACAAGAAAGGGAUGAGCGGAACCACACCUUCAGUUAACUGAAGGCAGUGUCACAUCAUUUGAAAUUCAGAGUGGUCACUCGAUAACACGUGCCUCUUCUCCUUACAGACCAGAGCAUUUUUCCAGAACAAGUGCUUUUCACCUUCAGCCCUGUCCUGCUCCAUAUCACAGCUCCUCCUACAGCAGGAACUUGUGGUGUUACUAGUAAGGAAAUGAAGGGCUAAGAAGGGAAGAACAGAGGGAUGUAUUUAUUGAACUAAGAUGAAAAUGCAAAAAAUAAACUGAGUGCUUCCAUAUCUUAUUUUUGUGUUGUCCAUGAGAAAAUAUACAGCUGGCCUUUAGGAUUCAGCCUGAAUUCUCAGGUUGCCAGAGGAAAGACUUUUCCCCAGGCCCUCACCAUACAAUCUUUAUCAACGUGACUUUCAGCAACCAUGAAAAAAAUCCAGGCUGACCUUUGAUACUAACCAGACUGGAGUACAAUCAGGUGAAACGUCAAAGCUUUCAUCAGCAAUAUGUACGCUCACCACCUCCUUUCCAAGGCAGAAGCAUCAUCCAGGCAGACAACAAGAGCACCAAGAGGGAAAAAAGAGAGCAACAUUUCAGUAACACGUGAGCUCUGUUCUCAGCUACAUGAGAUUGCAGGACCAGACAUCUCCCUGGGAUAGAACUCAGAAGGUCACAGUUUUCCAGCACACUUCAAUCACCUCUUUUUUUUUUUUUUCAUUAUUUAUGGUGGAAACUUCUAUCCAGGUUUAUAAAACCUAUCCAGCUGUGCAUUAGUUUAAUAAACCAGAGCUGACCUGAGAUGCAAUUAGAAUUUGACAUUUUUCCAUACUUAGUUCACAAGUUUAUUAUGAAAAACACUGCAGCUCUGUCCUGCAGUAACAUUGUUUUACAGAAAAAAACAGUUCUGUUCAAAGUAAUUCACUAUGCCUGGACAAUUACAAGGGACAAUAUGGUUGGGCAAAGAGUGGAAAAGGGAACUGAGUGCAGACAAAAAAAAAAAUCAAUACAAUUAAAUUAAACAGUAUUCCCUGAAAAUAAAAACAAACAAACAGUUUCAGAACAAAUAUGAAGCCUUGGUACUUAUUUUAAAAAUGUUCUUUAAGCUUCAAUGAUUGUUUGCUGCUAUCUUUAUCUACAGUCAUGCUGAAUAAAGCUAUAGCUAAAUGGAAAGUUAAAUGUAUUCACGAGGUGUUAAUGUCUACAUCUUAUUAUUUGCAGUCUCUCAGAGAAAGCAAAAGUAACUACAAAUAGCGCUAUGCCAGAAACUGGUUUCUUG
rnacentral:lncRNA from 1 species